GUGAAACCGUUUAAUUUGGGCAAACGAAUUCCGGAGCCACGAAGUCGUUUCGCUGAUAGUCGGGACCAAGUUCAGCUUAGAAUCUAAAAAAUUCUUGGUUUAUUCUUGCGUCUGGCCAUCUUUGUAAGCGUACACUGCAACCAGUUAGACGAUUGGCGAUGGGCUAAGUUUGAUUAGGCCUUAAAACCUUUUUAAACGAGCUAUUUGUUUGCUCAAGUUAGUAGUAGCGUGUAGUGUUUCGGCAUUACAUGUUGCUGGGCUUGUGGCAAGUGGACUAUCCCCAAAUACUGACUGGCAAAAUGAAAAUCACUCUAUGAGUGUUAUAUAGAAUGCGGUUUUUUGUAUGAUUAUCUACACAUUUUAAUGUAGAGUUUUUAAGCUCAGCGCUUUUGAAUUUAGACUUGCUGGCUACCAAUGGGGCAACUCUUGGUGCCAGUAUAGCUUCUAUCUAAUCGGGUGUUGACUUGGCUUUAUAUUGAUAAUGUGACUCGAUAGGGUGGUCAUAUAAGAGAAUUCGCCAUUUAUUGGCAGUGAGUAGGUCGGCUUUCCGAACGACCCGUCUUGAAACACGGACCAAGGAGUCUAAUUAGGCAUCGAGUCGAUCGGUCUUGAAUAGGCCAGAAUUGGGGACUUGAUCCCCUAAAUGAAGGCGAAGAGAAAUCAAAUCAUGUGAUCGUUUGGGCAACAACAGCCCUUACGCGCAACAUGUGCCUGUUCGUAUAACAAUGUUAGUAAUAACUUGUUGAGCGGAGCAAAGAGAUGCUUGAUUGGUACCCGAAGAGUGAGAGAAAUUAUA
rnacentral:rRNA from 1 species